rnacentral:rRNA from 1 species
GCUUGUCUCAAAGAUUAAGCCAUGCAUGUCUAAGUAUAAGUACCUUAUACGGCGAGACUGCGCAUGGCUCAUUAAAUCAGUUAUAGUUUAUUUGAUGGUGACCUACACUACAUGGAUAACCGUAGUAAUUCUAGAGCUAAUACAUGCGUUAAAGUCCCAACUCUCGUGGAAGGGAUGUAUUUAUUAGAUACAAAACCAACCCGGCAGCAAUGUCGGUUUGUUGGCGAUUCAUAAUAACUCCUUAGUCGGAGCCCAUGGUCUAGUACCGUGGCCAGGUCAUUCAAAUUUCUGCCCUAUCAGCUGUCGAUGGUAGUGUAGUGGACUACCAUGGCUUUUACGGGUGACGGAGAAUUAGGGUUCGAUUCCGGAGAGGGAGCCUGAGAAACGGCUACCACAUCCAAGGAAGGCAGCAGG